rfam:Pseudomonas resinovorans NBRC 106553 DNA, complete geonome.
CUGCGGCGCCGGCUUUGUCGGCGCCGCAGUAAAACCAGGAACGCAGCCCACAAAGCCGUGUUCCUCAUCUGAAAAAUAUAUAGAUGACCAGCAGGGGCAACCGGGCUGGUGCCCGGACUAUCUGCGGGAUCCUUGGUGGCUUCAGUCGCUGUGCCAGGACUUCUUAGCCCUAGUGUCCAUGCCGAUGGUGUCCCCUUAUCGAGGGUGACAA